rnacentral:rRNA from 1 species
UACAGAGGUCUCAAGCGUUGUUCGGAUUCAUUGGGCGUAAAGGGUGCGUAGGCGGCGCGGUAAGUCGGGUGUGAAAUCUCGGGGCUUAACUCCGAAACUGCAUUCGAUACUGCCGUGCUUGAGGACUGGAGAGGAGACUGGAAUUUACGGUGUAGCGGUGAAAUGCGUAGAUAUCGUAAGGAAGACCAGUGGCGAAGGCGGGUCUCUGGACAGUUCCUGACGCUGAGGCACGAAGGUCAGGGGAGCAAGCGGG